CUCUCGAAAUUCAGCAACUGCUAACAGCGAGGAGGGGGUUUUGAAAGGUAAAGGCCAUUAGCUUGGAGGCAGAAGACAGACCUCCCUGACUGCUGAAUUCCUGCCGGCCUGAAAUUGGAGCAUUCCAAGCUCCUCAGAUGAGUCAUAAGCCACCAAGAUUGUGAGCCUCUGGGUGCUAGCCAGGAUCACUCCCUCCGAAGUCACACCAGAGGGAGGGCUGGAGGGAGAAUCAAAUGAAAGAGAGAGGGAGAGAAAGGAAGGAAGAGAAGGAGGGAGAAUGGAAGGAUGUAUGGAUUUGGAUGUAUGGGUUCCAUUCCUUCUACCCUGGCAAAAGCUUACUCAUCCUUCAGUGUCCAUCCAAAAUGGCAUCUCUUCUUGGGCACCAUCUCCAGAGUCUCCUGCAAGCAGGUAGCUACAUCCCACAAAACAACCACCCAUCUGACCAUGCAAGUGUGUGGGGGAAUGAAGACCAGCCCAGGAAUCUGAGAUGAAUGUUUUGCUUCUUGCUCUGCCACUGACUCACAGGGUACCCCAAGCAAGUCCCUUCACCUCCUCGGUCUCAGUUUCUCCAUUUAUACUACUAAGGCAGUGGACAUGAUGGCCUCAAGUCUCAACAUUUUUAUUCCCUGAAAAGAAACUCUUGGUGCUGAGUGGUCUUCUUCUGCCCUGACAUCUCACCUUUCAAACGCUUGUCUCUUCUCACCCCACCCACCACUUAGCAUGUGCUCUUGGAGAACACCCAGGACUCAGGGUCUCUGCACACAUCAUGAGUCCAGCUCAGCAUUUGAGGUGGAAUCAGAGGAAAGGAAGGAGAGUGGGGAGAAUAGUCAGUAUUUUGGCAAGCUCAUCAUACCUUCCCCCUUUGUAUAGAAACUUCAAACCAUUUCCCUUUGAAGGCACUACCUCCUUCCCCCAGUUAUAAAUGAGUGAAGGUCUCAAGCCUGGACAACCAAAUGCACAGUGAUUGGUUCAACUCUGGACCUGUGACUCAAGCCAGACCAAGGGAGUGACAUGCAGGGCUUUGCCUGGAACUAUUCUGAAAGGGGCACUCUCUUUCUGCUGGGCUACUGAUAAUAUGUGCAUCCGUGAUAGAAGAGCCUGCCUGAUAAUAAAGCCAAUAAGGGAAGAGCAGAGCCAAGAGAUGGUGGGAGAGCAGAUGCCUGAAAAUAUCAUUUGAGCCCCUGGGUCCAGCUGCACCUGAAGCCACCACGAUCUCCUGGACUUUGCAGUUACUUGAGUUCAUAAAUACCCUUUGGCAUUAAGCCAGAUUGAGUCUUAAUGCAUAUAGAAAUAAGAGAAAUGAGAAAAGAAAUUGAAAAGAGAGACAGCAGAGAACUGAUUCUCUACUAGAGCCUCCAGAAGGAAUCAACUCUGCCAACACCUUGAUUUUGGACUUGUGGCCUUCAGAACAGUGAAAUGAUAAACAUCUGUUAUUUUAAGGUACCUAGUGUGUAACAUUCCGUCAUGACAGCCCUAGGAAAUGAAUACAGCGAGGAAAAUCCUACCAGCACAAAGGCAUGGAGGUGCCAGGAUGUCUCCUCUGCGUGAAGAGUAGAUGUAGAUGAGGCUGGAAUUAUCUAUCCUAGCUGCCCAGACCCAUGUGCCUUUGUUUUAUGUAGUUACAGCACCUAUGAUACAUAUUUGUUACCAUGUAUGUCACUAUGAACCUCCUCUGGAGGACGGAGAAGUCAAAUACCUUAAUUAUUCCAACACAAGCUUGCGUGAACAGAUAAUCAUCACUACGAGUAUAUUGUGUGCCUGCUAAGCACCACACCUGAGAUAAGCAUUUGCUGUGGUUUGAAUGUCCCCUCCAAAGCUCAUGCUAAAAUUUAAUUGCCAUUGCAACAGUGUUGCAAGGUGAGAACUUUAAGAGAUGAUCAGGUCAUGAGAACUCUGCCCUCGUGAAUGGAUUAAUACCCUUAUCGCAGUAGUGGACCCCCCUUUUCUCUUGCUGUCUGUCUCUCAUGUUAGCUUGUGCUUCCUCCUUUCACCAUGGGAUAACACAGCAAGAAGCCCCUCACCAGAUGCUGGCACCUUGCUAUUGGACUUCCGGCCUCCAGAACUGAGAAAUACAUGUCUUUUCCUUAUAAAUUACCCAGUCUGUGGUAUUCUGUUAUAGCGGCAGAAAAUGGACUAAGACGGCAUUUUGCAUACAUUAUCUGUCUUAUUAAAAAUAAUGUUUUUGCCCAGGAACAUAGAUUCAAGUUGCCCUGAAUAUACAUUAUCUCCCUACAUUAUCUCUUUUAAUCCUCACCUAUUAGGUAGAUAAACUGCUAUUAUCCCCAUUUUGCAGGUGAAACCUCAAGCUCCCAAAGAACUGCAGCAUCGAGGAAAGUAAAACCAAUAGCUAGCAUGUUCAGUAGUCCCCUUUACCCAUGGUACAAUACAGUACGCUAAGAUAUUCUGAGAAAGUGAGAGGCCGCAUUCACGUAUCUUUUAUCGCAGUAUAUUGUUACAAUUGUUGUAUUUUAUUCGUUAUUGUUGUUAGUCUCUUAUUGUGCCUAAUUUAUAAAUUAAGCUUUACCACAGGCAUGUGUGUAUAGGAAAAAACAGUACGGAUGCUCCUCAACUCACAAUAGGGUUAUGUCCUGAUAAACCCUUCGUUCAGUUGAAAAGAUCUUUAAGUUGAAAAUGCAUUUAAUACCUCUAACCUACCAAACAUCAGAGCUUAGCCUAGCAUACCUUAAACAUCCUCAAAACACUUACACUAGCCUACAGUUGAAAAAAAAUCGUCUAACACAAAACCUAUUUUCUAACAAAGCACUGAAUAUCUCAUCUCUUAAUUUUAAUUUUUUUUUUUCUGAGUAACAGGCUGCUCUGUUACUCAGGCUGGAGUGCAGUGGCAUGAUCAUAGCUCACUGCAACCCUGAACUCCUGGGCUCAGGCCAUCCUCCCACCUCAGCCUCCUGAGUAGCUAGGAUACAAGUGCGUGCCACCACACCUGGCUAAUCUUUUAAUUUUUAUUUUUGUAGAGACGAGGUACUGUUUCCCAGGGUGGUCUUGAACUCCUGGCCUCAAGUGAUCCUCCCACCUUGGCCUCCCAAAGUGCUGGGAUUACAGGCGUGAACCACUGUGCCCAGCUUCUUCUUAUAUAUUGAAUACUGUACUUAAAGUAAAAAAUUGAAUGGUUGUAUGGGUACUGUAAGUAUGUUUUCUGCUGAAUGCAUAUCACUCUCACACCAUUGUAAAGUCAGAAAAUUAUAAGUCUAACCAUCAUAUGUUGGGGACCAUCUGUGUAUUACUAUCCAUGGUUUUAAGCAUCCACUAAAAGUCUUGAAAUGUAUCCCCCUCAGGUCAGGGGACACUGCUGUAAUAAUAAAAACAGCUUGCACUUCCACAAGAUUCAGACGUGCCAGAUAGUGGUCUAAGAGCUUUGCAUGCAUGUUAAUUCAUUUCACUCUCACAGUAACCUGAUGAGGGACUUACUAUGAUUCUUCCCAUUUUACAGGUGAGGAAACAGAAAUAAAAAGACACUAAGGGCUUGCUCAAGCUUGAGCUGGAAUUUGCACCCCGGCAGCCUCACUCUAGCUGCCUGUUACUUACUGCAGGCCUGUCGGGUGCCAGGCACUGUGCUGAGCAUUCUACAUAUUUCAUCCUCCCAGCCUCUCAGUGACCAAGUGCAGAAACCUGUGACCAUUUCAUACUGAAUAUUUGAAGGAUAAGCAAGUGAUCGUGGCACACAAAGGGACACUUACUUUGGUGCUUCCUUCAUCCUUAUUUGGUUUUGGACACAUUCCCUGCCUAACUCACCAGACUCCCCAAGGGCAUGGAACAUGUCUAAUGGAGCCUCGGAUCCCGCAUGUAUUGCACGGUUCCUGGCACGUAGUAGAUGCACAUGUUUUCGAACUGACCCAUCAUCUACAUGCGCUCUUGCAUGUGACAUGUCCUGGGAGGCCUCCUCAUCUCAUGACUGCCACAGCCAUGCUCACUGCCCAGGGCACCAGAAGGCAGAAGGCUGGUGAAGCGAUUUGGCUGAAUUCACUGCCUCCCUCUUGACGGAGGGGCUGAGGUGAGGAGGGAGAGGUGGCAGCAGGAUCCACUCCACUCCAAUGGUGCCCAGAUAGACCUAUACAUCACCCAACACAAAUAGAGCCACUCUGAGCAGUAUUGAGCGGAGUGCAGGCAGACAGUGCAAGGGAAGCUGGCCUCUUCAUCCAUCAGCGCCGCUGCUGCUGCCCAGGGGUGAGGACCAUGGUGGAGCCCCUUGCAGGUGCCCCCACAGAGCCCCCUGCCCCUAGUUGCCCCUCUGCAGAUGGGUGGAGGAUGACAGUUGCAUAGGGAUAGGAUCUUAUUGUAUAAAUCUCCUUUUGUGGCCCUGCCUGUCCUGGAUCCAAGCAGGAGGGGUGGUGGGCAAAUAGAAAGUGACAGCAGGACAUUUAUUGUUCUGAUGGACCAAUAGGGAAGCCGGGGUGGAGGCCAGCGGGGCAGCAGAUAGGUCAGUGUGGUCGGUGGUACUUACAACCGAUAGGAUCUAGAUGAGUCCAAGACAGAUGACUGCAGAGACAGCCAGCGCCCACCACAGCCCCAUCAGUAAGCCUGUGGGUAGGGAACAAGCUGGACAGCCCUCUGCAACCUGGCAUGGACGGGUGGAAGGUGUGGAUUUUCACGCCAGGUUGGGGAAGGUGGAUAAAAGGGUGGCAGUGGGAACAGCUUGGGUGGCGAUCUGGGGAGAGGACAAGAGACCCCUAGAUACAUACUGUCUCUUUCAUGUUCUAUCUUUCCAUGUCUCUGCCUCUGUCUCCUCAUCUAUGUUUGGUUUUCCUUUUUCUCUCUUGUCCCUUUCCUUCUCUUCCCUUCAUUCCUCCUUCUCUUCCCCUUUUCCCUUCCCCUUCUCUCUCUCCAUCUCUUUCUGUCUCUCCUUCCCUCCCUCUCUCUCUUCCUCUGUUUUUUCUCUGGGUGUGGGUGUGACUUUCUUAUUCUCCCCUCCUCCUCCCUCCUUCCCCCCCUCUCCUCUCUCUUUAUAGGUAUUCACUACAGCUAGCAUUUAUUGGGUGUGUGCUUUGUUCCGGACACUGUUCUGAGCUCUUCACACUUAUGGGCAUUCAUUCCUCAAUCCUCACACAGCCAGUGGGGCAGAUAUUGCUCCUGGCUCCUGGUAUCUCUUUCUGAGGGCCUUGUUUGCAUCUGGACCCAGGAUGCUCGUGUGUGACUUUUCUGGAAUCCAAGCACAUUGUGGCUGUUAAUAGUGAUGAUGAUGAUGAUGAUCAUGAUAAUCAUGAAGAUAAAAAAUUAUCAGGCAUUUUCUCUGUACUAAAUCCUUUAUGUAUAUCAUCUCCAGGAAUCCCCUGGGCACCUCCAAGAAGUAGGCAUUAUUAUCCCUACUCUACAAAUGAGGAAACUGAGGCCAAGAGAGGUUAAAUGAGUUGAUCAAGGUCACACAGUUGGUAAGACAUGAAGCAGGGCUGGAAACAAGGUCUUCUGGAACUUCACCUCACUGAUCUGCUACAGGAGGGAGUCUGGGAAGCCAUGGGAAGCCCAGUCAGGGCUGGAACUCUGGUCUACAAAUCAUCCCUCCCUGGGAACCUGGCUCAGGGGCCAGCCCCAUCACUGUCUCAGCAGAAACCAUUGGUCAUCUUAGCUAUAGCCUUUCACCAAGGAAGAAUGCCUAAAACCAUAUCCAUACCCAGGAAAGUCUGAGAAUUAUAGCUGAGCUUUCCAUCAAGAUGGCUGGCCUUGACUCAGAUUAGGUCAGAAAUUAAAAUAGCAAAUUCAAGGUUAUAACACUUUGAUCAUGGCUCACAUACAGUUCUUCUUUAACAAAAUCCCUAACAUGGAGUAAUCAAUAUUUCUGGGGCGUGUGCCAGGUCAACACCCUUCUUCACCUCACAUUCCCUCAUCCCCUAAUGGAGAAAGCCCUUGGGAGCCAUGUUGGUGUCAUGUGACCCUGCCUCCCAGGCUGAUUGGAUCAAGGGUGAUCACCUGAUCCAAGAUGGGCUAAUCAGAUCCUCUCUCACCUAAAGUUUGGAAUUGGGAAUCUAAUCUUUUUUCUUUUUAAUUUUUUAAAACUGUCACAUAAAAUAGUUUUAUAAUAUUUAAAUUAUGUAAAUAAUACAUGCUGAUUGUAAAAAAUAUUCAAACUUUUACAUAAAAAUAGAAGGAAGGCAAUAAAAAUUACCUGAAAGCCCAUCAUCCUGUUAGCCAUUUAUAUUUGGUGACCAUUCUUUCAUUCAUUUCUUUGUGUAUUAACUCACACACAUGUAUCUAAUUUUAUAUAAAUGGAAUUUUAAAUGAAUGGGCUCAUGUCACACGUGCUGGCUUAAACAUGGUCAUUUUUUUCUUAUAAUAGAGGGUUUUCUUUCUUUAUUCCUCCCUCACACCCUCUCUCCUCACUUUGUCCUCUUCUUUUUGCAUACCUUCCACUUCCUUACCCUCCCCCACCCCAGACCUAGCCCUAAUAACCAGUUCAUAACCUGAUGUAUUUUUUUUUUUGUGGUAAGCUGCAUAAUGGUCUCCAAAAGAGAUCCAUGUGGAACCUGUGAGUGUUUCCUUAUAUGGCAAAAAGGACUUGCAAAUGUGAUUAGAUUAAGGGCCUUGAGAUGGGGAGGUUAUCUGGAUUAUCUGAGUGGUCCUAAUGUAACCACAAGUAACCUUAUAAAAGGGAUGCAGGAGGAGUCCACGUUAGGGAAGAAGGCAACGUAAAGACAGAAGGAAAAAAUGCAGUGAUGCGGGUAUGAGCCAAUGCAUGCCAAAGCAGCCUCUAGAACCUGGAAAGAGCAAGGAAUGGAUUCUUCCUUGGAGCCUCCAGAAGCAGUCAGUCCUAUCAACAUCUUGCUUUUAGCCCUGUAAGGCUGGUUUUAGAUUUCUGACCUCCAGAGCUGUAAGAGAAAAAAUUUGUGUUGUCUUUGGCCACUCAGUACAUGGUAAUUUUUCACAGCAACAAUAGAAAACCAUUACAAAUUUUAGUACCAAGAGUGGAGUGCUACUGUAACAAGUACUUACACAUGUGCAAGUGACUUUGGAAUUGGGUGUUAGGUAGAAUCUGUAAGAAUUUUGAGGCACAUGACAGAAAAGGCCUAGAUUGCCUUAAACAGACUGCUGAUACGAAUGUGGUUGUUCAGCAUUUUGGGCGGCUGAAGUGAAUGGAUCACUUGAGCCCAGGAGUUGGAAACCAGCCGGGGCAACAUGGCAAAACCCCAUCUCUACAAAAACUACAAAAAUUAGCCAGGUGUGGUGGGACAUACCUGUGGUCCCAGCUACUUGGGAGACUGAGGUGGGAGGAUCGUUUAAGCCUGGGAG
rnacentral:lncRNA from 1 species